GAUGAACGCUGGCGGCGUGCCUAAUACAUGCAAGUCGAGCGAACGGACGAGAAGCUUGCUUCUCUGAUGUUAGCGGCGGACGGGUGAGUAACACGUGGAUAACCUACCUAUAAGACUGGGAUAACUUCGGGAAACCGGAGCUAAUACCGGAUAAUAUUUUGAACCGCAUGGUUCAAAAGUGAAAGACGGUCUUGCUGUCACUUAUAGAUGGAUCCGCGCUGCAUUAGCUAGUUGGUAAGGUAACGGCUUACCAAGGCAACGAUGCAUAGCCGACCUGAGAGGGUGAUCGGCCACACUGGAACUGAGACACGGUCCAGACUCCUACGGGAGGCAGCAGUAGGGAAUCUUCCGCAAUGGGCGAAAGCCUGACGGAGCAACGCCGCGUGAGUGAUGAAGGUCUUCGGAUCGUAAAACUCUGUUAUUAGGGAAGAACAUAUGUGUAAGUAACUGUGCACAUCUUGACGGUACCUAAUCAGAAAGCCACGGCUAACUACGUGCCAGCAGCCGCGGUAAUACGUAGGUGGCAAGCGUUAUCCGGAAUUAUUGGGCGUAAAGCGCGCGUAGGCGGUUUUUUAAGUCUGAUGUGAAAGCCCACGGCUCAACCGUGGAGGGUCAUUGGAAACUGGAAAACUUGAGUGCAGAAGAGGAAAGUGGAAUUCCAUGUGUAGCGGUGAAAUGCGCAGAGAUAUGGAGGAACACCAGUGGCGAAGGCGACUUUCUGGUCUGUAACUGACGCUGAUGUGCGAAAGCGCGGGGAUCAAACAGGAUUAGAUACCCUGGUAGUCCACGCCGUAAACGAUGAGUGCUAAGUGUUAGGGGGUUUCCGCCCCUUAGUGCUGCAGCUAACGCAUUAAGCACUCCGCCUGGGGAGUACGACCGCAAGGUUGAAACUCAAAGGAAUUGACGGGGACCCGCACAAGCGGUGGAGCAUGUGGUUUAAUUCGAAGCAACGCGAGGAACCUUACCAAAUCUUGACAUCCUUUGACAACUCUAGAGAUAGAGCCUUCCCCUUCGGGGGACAAAGUGACAGGUGGUGCAUGGUUGUCGUCAGCUCGUGUCGUGAGAUGUUGGGUUAAGUCCCGCAACGAGCGCAACCCUUAAGCUUAGUUGCCAUCAUUAAGUUGGGCACUCUAAGUUGACUGCCGGUGACAAACCGGAGGAAGGUGGGGAUGACGUCAAAUCAUCAUGCCCCUUAUGAUUUGGGCUACACACGUGCUACAAUGGACAAUACAAAGGGCAGCGAAACCGCGAGGUCAAGCAAAUCCCAUAAAGUUGUUCUCAGUUCGGAUUGUAGUCUGCAACUCGACUACAUGAAGCUGGAAUCGCUAGUAAUCGUAGAUCAGCAUGCUACGGUGAAUACGUUCCCGGGUCU
rnacentral:rRNA from 1 species